rnacentral:rRNA from 1 species
UACGUAGGGGUCGAGCGUUGUCCGGAGUUACUGGGCGUAAAGCGUGUGCAGGCGGCUCAUUGCGCCCGGCGUGAAAGCCCCCGGCUCAACCGGGGAGAGUCGUCGGGGACGGGUGAGCUUGAGGGUAUCAGGGGCUGGUGGAAUUCCCGGUGUAGUGGUGAAAUGCGUAGAUAUCGGGAGGAACACCCGUGGCGAAGGCGGGUCUCUGGGCAGUAACUGACGCUGAGGAGCGAAAGCGUGGGGAGCAAACAGG